UACAGAUGAAAAACAGAUAAAAGUAAUGUCAUGUACCCUUUGUUGCUGAUGUUGGUGAGGCAUAAGCUUGUAGAGUCCCACAUGGGAGUUCCAGUUCAUUUAAUGGAACUCUAAACCAAUGGGAUCAUCAUUAUUUCGAAUGAAGGAAACUGCUAAUUCUCAGUCAUCAUAUGUAAAGUGUGGAAAUCUUUAACUUUGAGCACUAUGUACUUUAAAAUACAUAGCCUUUAUGAAGAUAAUUAGUCCUAUUGCAGUUUAGUAGAGGCCAGGAAACUUUAAUUUUCUGCUAGUUAUUAGUGAUCAGAUUGAAUGGCCAGAUCCACAUGGCUGGCAGAUUAAGGUGAAAGUAACUAAGACAGAAUUUCAAUAUUAUAGACAAGGAGGCUGAGAUAUACUGAAUACCCACCUAAUUACUCGAGGUCCGGAGCACUCUUCAGUUUAGCCAUGAUAUAUUGACAGAAUAUGGUUCUUGUGGAAAUAUAUAACAUGCGAUUCUUUCAAUAGUAUACUGC
rnacentral:lncRNA from 1 species